UUUGAUCCUGGCCCGUUUGGAAAGAAAUUGAUCCUGGCUCAGAUUGAACGCUGGCGGCAGGCCUAACACAUGCAAGUCGAGCGGUAGAGAGGUGCUUGCACCUCUUGAGAGCGGCGGACGGGUGAGUAAUGCCUAGGAAUCUGCCUGGUAGUGGGGGAUAACGCUCGGAAACGGACGCUAAUACCGCAUACGUCCUACGGGAGAAAGCAGGGGACCUUCGGGCCUUGCGCUAUCAGAUGAGCCUAGGUCGGAUUAGCUAGUUGGUGAGGUAAUGGCUCACCAAGGCGACGAUCCGUAACUGGUCUGAGAGGAUGAUCAGUCACACUGGAACUGAGACACGGUCCAGACUCCUACGGGAGGCAGCAGUGGGGAAUAUUGGACAAUGGGCGAAAGCCUGAUCCAGCCAUGCCGCGUGUGUGAAGAAGGUCUUCGGAUUGUAAAGCACUUUAAGUUGGGAGGAAGAACCAUUACCUAAUACGUGAGGUUUUGACGUUACCGACAGAAUAACACGGGCAUCACG
rnacentral:rRNA from 1 species